rnacentral:tRNA from 1 species
GGGGAAGUGGCAGAAUUGGUAUUGUUAAGUAACCGCCCGUCAGCGGUGAAAAGGAUGGACGUAAAUAGCCUGACGGCGUAGAAUAUCAUCCGAUUGCGGGUUCGAGUCCCGUCUUCCUCCA